AAUGAACGUUGGCGGCAUGGAUUAGGCAUGCGAGUCGAGCGAGAAGAGUUUUGAAGCUUGCUUUAGAACUCGGACAGCGGCGAAAGGGAGAGUAACGCGUAGUUAUGUACCCUAGGGUCCGGAAUAGCCACGGGAAACUGUGGGUAAUGCCGGAUAACAUCCCCGGAUCAAAGGUGUGAUUCCGCCCUAGGAGCAGACUGCGUCCUACUAGCUAGUUGGUGGGGUAAUGGCCCACCAAGGCAAUGAUGGGUAGCGGGUGUGAGAGCAUGACCCGUCUCACUGGGACUGAGACACUGCCCAGACACCUACGGGUGGCUGCAGUCGAGAAUCUUCGGCAAUGGGCGAAAGCCUGACCGAGCGAUGCCGCGUGCGGGAUGGAGGCCCUCGGGUUGUAAACCGCUGUCGUAGGGGAGGAAGGUUCCGUGAAGAGCGGAAUUUGACCUAUCCUAGGAGGAAGUACGGGCUAAGUUCGUGCCAGCCGCCGCAGUAACAC
rnacentral:rRNA from 1 species